UCCGUAGGGUGCAAGCGUUAAUCGGAAUUACUGGGCGUAAAGGGUGCGCAGGCGGUUUUGUAAGUCUGUCGUGAAAGCCCCGGGCUCAACCUGGGAAUUGCGAUGGAGACUGCAAGGCUUGAAUCUGGCAGAGGGGGGUAGAAUUCCACGUGUAGCAGUGAAAUGCGUAGAGAUGUGGAGGAACACCGAUGGCGAAGGCAGCCCCCUGGGUCAAGAUUGACGCUCAUGCACGAAAGCGUGGGGAGCAAACAGG
rnacentral:rRNA from 1 species